CCUACGGGAGGCAGCAGUGAGGAAUAUUGGUCAAUGGACGAGAGUCUGAACCAGCCAAGUAGCGUGAAGGAUGACUGCCCUAUGGGUUGUAAACUUCUUUUAUAAAGGAAUAAAACGAGGCACGUGUGCCUUUUUGCAUGUACUUUAUGAAUAAGGAUCGGCUAACUCCGUGCCAGCAGCCGCGGUAAUACGGAGGAUCCGAGCGUUAUCCGGAUUUCUUGGGUUUAAAGGGAGCGUAGAUGGGUUGUUAAGUCAGUUGUGAAAGUUUGCGGCUCAACCGUAAAAUUGCAAUUGAUACUGGCAGUCUUGAGUACAGAUGAGGUAGGCGGAAUUCGUGGUGUAGCGGUGAAAUGCUUAGAUAUCACGAAGAACCCCGAUUGCGAAGGCAGCUUACUAAACUGUGACUGACAUUGAUGCUCGAAAGUGUGGGUAUCAAACAGGAGUAGAUACCCGGGUAGUC
rnacentral:rRNA from 1 species